UACGUAGGGUGCGAGCGUUAAUCGGAAUUACUGGGCGUAAAGGGCGCGUAGGCGGUUUGUUAAGUCAGGCGUGAAAGCCCUGGGCUCAACCUGGGAGGUGCGUUUGAUACUGGCAAGCUUGAGUGCAGGAGAGGAUGGUGGAAUUCCCAGUGUAGAGGUGAAAUUCGUAGAUAUUGGGAAGAACACCGGUGGCGAAGGCGGCCAUCUGGACUGCAACUGACGCUGAGGUGCGAAAGCGUGGGGAGCAAACAGG
rnacentral:rRNA from 1 species